rnacentral:tRNA from 1 species
UGGGGAAUGGCUCAGUGGUAGAGCAUUUGCCUGUCAUACAUAAGGCUCUGGGUUCCAUCCUCAGAUCCUCAG